rnacentral:rRNA from 1 species
AUUGAACGCUGGCGGCAGGCCUAACACAUGCAAGUCGAACGAGUGGCGGACGGGUGAGUAAUGUCUGGGAAACUGCCCGAUGGAGGGGGAUAACUACUGGAAACGGUAGCUAAUACCGCAUACCAUCGGAUGUGCCCAGAUGGGAUUAGCUUGUAGGUGAGGUAACGGCUCACCUAGGAGACGAUCCCUAGCUGGUCUGAGAGGAUGACCGGGCACACUGGAACUGAUAAACGGUCCAGACUCCUACGGGAGGCAGCAGGGGGGAAGAUUGCACAGUGGUCGCAAUCCUGAUGCAGCCAUGCCGCGUGUAUGAAGAAGGCCUUCGGGUUGUAAAGUACUUUCAGCGGGGAGGCGUUACCCGCAGAAGAAGCCCCGGCUAACUCCGUGCCAGCAGCCGCGGUAAUUC